GGGAUACACAAAAUGGGGGCACUUCCCGUUCUCUGUCUGGAAAGUGCUCCCAUUUUUGUGUGUCCU
rfam:Felis catus isolate Cinnamon breed Abyssinian chromosome E2, whole genome shotgun sequence.